rnacentral:rRNA from 1 species
ACGAAGGGUCCUAGCGUUGUUCGGAAUUACUGGGCGUAAAGGGCGCGUAGGCGGCUCGUUAAGUCAGGUGUGAAAGCCCCAAGCUCAACUUGGGAACUGCAUUUGAUACUGGCGGGCUAGAGAUCGGAAGAGGUGAGUGGAAUUCCUAGUGUAGAGGUGAAAUUCGUAGAUAUUAGGAAGAACACCAGCGGCGAAGGCGGCUCACUGGUCCGAUACUGACGCUAAGGCGCGAAAGCGUGGGGAGCAAACAGG